GCACCUUGGGCGAAGGUG
rnacentral:snRNA from 1 species